rnacentral:rRNA from 1 species
GAUGAACGCUGGCGGCGUGCCUAAUACAUGCAAGUCGAGCGAACAGACGAGGAGCUUGCUCCUCUGACGUUAGCGGCGGACGGGUGAGUAACACGUGGAUAACCUACCUAUAAGACUGGGAUAACUUCGGGAAACCGGAGCUAAUACCGGAUAAUAUAUUGAACCGCAUGGUUCAAUAGUGAAAGACGGUUUUGCUGUCACUUAUAGAUGGAUCCGCGCCGCAUUAGCUAGUUGGUAAGGUAACGGCUUACCAAGGCAACGAUGCGUAGCCGACCUGAGAGGGUGAGCGGACACACUGGAACUGAGACACGGUCAAGACUCCUACGGGAGGCAGCAGUAGGGAAUCUUACGCAAUGGGCGAAAGCCUGACGGAGCAACGCCGCGUGAGUGAUGAAGGUCUUCGGAUCGUAAAACUCUGUUAUUAGGGAAGAACAAAUGUGUAAGUAACUAUGCACGUCUUGACGGUACCUAAUCAGAAAGCCACGGCUAACUACGUG